AACGAACGCUGGCGGCGUGCCUAACACAUGCAAGUCGAACGCGAAAGGGGGCAACCCCCGGUAGCGUGGCAGACGGGCGAGUAACACGUGGGUAACCUGCCCGGAGGUGUGGAAUAACCCUUCGAAAGGAGGGCUAAUACCGCAUGACAUCCCGGGGUCCUCGGAUCCUGGGAUCAAAGCUGGCCUCUACUUGUAAGCUAGCGCCACCGGAGGGGCCCGCGCCCCAUUAGCUAGUUGGUGGGGUAAUGGCCCACCAAGGCGACGAUGGGUAGCCGGCCUGAGAGGGCGACCGGCCACACUGGAACUGAGACACGGUCCAGACUCCUACGGGAGGCAGCAGUGAGGAAUCUUGCGCAAUGGGCGAAAGCCUGACGCAGCGACGCCGCGUGGAGGAUGAAGGUCUUCGGAUCGUAAACUCCUGUCGAGUGGGACGAAUCCGUGCGGGUGAACAACCCGUACGGUUGACGGUACCGCUGGAGGAAGCCCCGGCUAACUCCGUGCCAGCAGCCACGGUAAGAC
rnacentral:rRNA from 1 species